GCAUAUCAAUAAGCGGAGGAAAAGAAACCAACAGGGAUUGCCCCAGUAACGGCGAGUGAAGCGGCAAGAGCUCAAAUUUGAAAGCUGGCCCCCUCGGGGUCCGCAUUGUAAUUUGCAGAGGAUGCUUCGGGAGUGGCCCCCAUCUAAGUGCUCUGGAACGGGCCGUCAUAGAGGGUGAGAAUCCCGUAUGGGAUGGGGUGUCCGCGACCAUGUGAAGCUCCUUCAACGAGUCGAGUUGUUUGGGAAUGCAGCUCUAAAUGGGUGGUAAAUUUCAUCUAAAGCUAAAUAUUGGCCGGAGACCGAUAGCGCACAAGUAGAGUGAUCGAAAGAUGAAAAGCACUUUGAAAAGAGAGUUAAAAAGCACGUGAAAUUGUUGAAAGGGAAGCGCUUGCGACCAGACUCGCCUGCGGGGUUCAGCCGGUAUUCGUACCGGUGUACUUCCCCGUGGGCGGGCCAGCGUCGGUUUGGGCGGCCGGUCAAAGGCCCUCGGAAUGUAACGCCUCUCGGGGCGUCUUAUAGCCGAGGGUGCCAUGCGGCCAGCCCGGACCGAGGAACGCGCUUCGGCACGGACGCUGGCAUAAUGGUCGUAAGCGACCCGUCUUGAAACACGGACCAAGGAGUCUAACAUCUACGCGAGUGUUCGGGUGUCAAACCCGUGCGCGCAGUGAAAGCGAACGGAGGUGGGAACCCUCACGGGUGCACCAUCGACCGAUCCUGAUGUCUUCGGAUGGAUUUGAGUAAGAGCGUAGCUGUUGGGACCCGAAAGAUGGUGAACUAUGCCUGAAUAGGGCGAAGCCAGAGGAAACUCUGGUGGAGGCUCGCAGCGGUUCUGACGUGCAAAUCGAUCGUCAAAUUUGGGUAUAGGGGCGAAAGACUAAUCGAACCAUCUAGUAGCUGGUUCU
rnacentral:rRNA from 1 species